rnacentral:rRNA from 1 species
GGGAGUACCAUUUUGGUAAACAGAUGCUAAUACCGGAUAAAAGACUACUUUCGCAUGAAAGAAGUUUAAAAGGACGGCGUAAGCUGUCGCUAAAAGGGGAUGGACCUGCGAUGCAUUAGCUAGUUGGUAAGGUAACGGCUUACCAAGGCGAUGAUGCAUAGCCCGAGUUGAGAGACUGAUCGGCCACAUUGGGACUGAGACACGGCCCAAACUCCUACGGGAGGCAGCAGUAGGGAAUCUUCCACAAUGGACGCAAGUCUGAUGGAGCAACGCCGCGUGAGUGAAGAAGGUUUUCGGAUCGUAAAGCUCUGUUGUUGGUGAAGAAGGAUAGAGGUAGUAACUGGCCUUUAUUUGACGGUAAUCAACCAGAAAGUCACGGCUAACUACGUGCCAGCAGCCGCGGUAAU